UGAGGAAGUUGCAGUGUGAACUGCAGAGCUUUGCGCCGGAUAAACACGGUGUCUGGAAUUCUUUUCAACUAAGGCUCUGCUAGGCCUGAGGCUGGUAACAACUGGGGGCUUCAUCAGAGAAUUUCGAGAUGGCUGUCUGAGAGGUUCUGUGUCUCUGCUAAAGGGCUGGGCAUGGAGUCAGCAUCAUCCACAGAACAGAGGAGAUGAUGUUAACAGAACCACAGCAGGUGCUCUCUAUGAAAUCCACAAGGUGAAGACAAUCCAGAACUUUCCAAACUUUUGAAUCUCAGCUGUACUGUUAUCUUUGAGUACAUUAAAAGUGACAGCCUACAUUGCAAAA